rnacentral:lncRNA from 1 species
CUUACUUAUUUAUUUUGAUUCCUCCUCCAGAGAACUCUUCCAGGGUGCUUCGUGACCUGCCAGCUUCUUGCUUUCUGCUGAAUCUGCUUGUGCAGAGGUUGGAUCAUGUCAAGUCCUUGUCUCACCUGGCUGCCAACAGACUUCUUGCUCAGCACCUCUUGAACCUGCUCAUGUUUAUUUAGAAAAUAACUUUGGUCCAACCAAAGAAAAAAAGAUGGUUUUCUGGGGCACUGGCAAGAGGAAUCUUCAUGGGGAGGAUGGCUGGAUUCCCGCCUCAGAAAGAAAAGGACUGUGCUGUCUGCUCACUUUUGCCAGAUUACUGCUACAUCCAACUCCAGCUCCAAGUUCAUGAAUUCAAGCGAUAGCUCUGCUGAUAAAUUCUUCAGUGGGUUUCACGUACCGUCUUUCUUCCAGCCUCCACAUACGGUACUCGGGGAAUGGCUGAACUCUGCCGCGGUUCAAAUGCAGGCUACUGAGCGGGCACAGAGCCUCCUCUGGCGGAGAACUGAGUGCAAGCAAAUACGAAGAUGCUCACAUCUGAAACAGAGGCUUUACAUGUGCUUUGGAGCUCCUGCCCACACAUGA